UCCCUGGUGGUCCAGUGGUUAGGACCCAACGCUCUCAAUGCUAGGGGCCCAGGUUCUAUCCAUGGUCAGGGAA
rnacentral:tRNA from 1 species